AGAACGAACGCUGGCGGCAGGCCUAACACAUGCAAGUCGAACGCUGCAGCAAUGCAGAGUGGCAGACGGGUGAGUAACGCGUGGGAACCUUCCCAGUGGUACGGAAUAGCUCAGGGAAACUUGAGGUAAUACCGUAUAAGCCCCUAGGGGGAAAGAUUUAUCGCCAUUGGAUGGGCCCGCGUCGGAUUAGCUAGUUGGUGAGGUAACGGCUCACCAAGGCAACGAUCCGUAGCUGGUUUGAGAGAAUGACCAGCCACACUGGGACUGAGACACGGCCCAGACUCCUACGGGAGGCAGCAGUGGGGAAUCUUGGACAAUGGGCGCAAGCCUGAUCCAACGCCAUGCCGCGUGAGUGACGAAGGCCUUAGGGUUGUAAAGCUCUUUUGGCGGGGACGAUAAUGACGAUACCCGCAGAAUAAGUCCCGGCUAACUUCGUGCCAGCAGCUGC
rnacentral:rRNA from 1 species